UUCUUUAAAUUCUUUACAUUUAUUAUUCACACUAUAAAUGUGAUUUGUAAAUGUAAACUGAUUUGUAUAAAUGUAAACUAAUUUCUUACCUGUGGUUUUUGGAAUAGGGUAGGGCAAAGACUCCAGCAAAGAAAAGGGAUUGCUUCAGAAAUUUCUUGAUGUCUGGAGAGGGACAGGCAGUGAGAGGAGUAGGAUGAGCACUCUGGCUUGCCUGCUGUCCCCUCCUCCAGCUCAG
rnacentral:lncRNA from 1 species